AAUUCGAUUGAGUUUGAUCAUGGCUCAGGAUAAACGCUGGCGGCGUGCCUAAUGCAUGCAAGUCGAACGGGCCAUCUCUUCGGGGGUGGCGAGUGGCGAACGGGUGAGGAACGCGUGGACAACCUACCCCGGCGUGGGGGAUACCCGCCAGAAAUGGCGGCUAAUACCGCGUACGGUCCCAUGACGGCAGGUCGUGGGAAGAAAGCAGCGAUGCGCGCUGGGAGGGGUCUGCGGCCGAUUAGCUGGUUGGGGGGGUAACGGCCCACCAAGGCGAUGAUCGGUAGCUGGUCUGAGAGGAUGAUCAGCCACACGGGGACUGAGACACGGCCCCGACUCCUACGGGAGGCAGCAGCAAGGAAUUUUCUGCAAUGGGGGCAACCCUGACGGAGCAACGCCGCGUGACGGAUGACGCCUCUUGGGGUGUAAACGUCUUUUGCCGAGGGAGAGCAUGGACGGUACUCGGCGAAUCAGGACCGGCUAACUACGUGCCAGCAGCCGCGGUAAUACGUAGGGUCCGAGCGUUGUCCGGAAUUACUGGGCGUAAAGCGUGCGCAGGCGGCCCCUUAGGCGUCACGUGAAAGCCCCGGGCUCAACCCGGGAGGGUCGUGGCGAACCGGGGGGCUUGAGACCGGUAGAGGUGGGUAGAACUCUUGGUGGAGUGGUGAAAUGCGUAGAGAUCAGGAAGAAUACCCGUGGCGAAGGCGGCCCACUGGGCCGGCACUGACGCUGAGG
rnacentral:rRNA from 1 species